CUCUUGGCGGUGGUUGCUGGCGGCUGCCUCCAUCUCGGCCGCCUUCGCCUGGCGCGCGCUCCGCCGCCGCAGCGGCAGACGAGUCCGGCCUCGGGCUGAUCCUCAGCCUCUUCUCCUCCGCCGCCUCCACCUCAGCGGUCGUCCUCGCCCACGAUGGCGGUGUCUGCCAGCACAACGCCGUCGGGGUCGGGGAUGGGUUGUCCUCGUCCCCGUGGCGGCGCUUCGGGCGCCUCCCUGCAGCAUCCUGUUUCCUGUGGCGGGGUGCGAUGCUACUGCGCGCGCGGCAUCGUGGGUCCCACGAGAAUCUAGGCCAUCUCGUAGGCGUGCCAUGGCCUUGGCCUCGCGCCGCACAUCCCUGCUUCCUCCAAUGCGGUCGCCACCGCCGCCGCAUGGGGAUUCUUCUUCUUGCUGUGGCCACGUGGACCAUGGUGGAGGGAGGCUCCGGCAGAGCGAGGCAGCGAGCACGCUGGGCCUGGGGCGAAGCUGGAGAGGUGGCUCUGGGUCCGCUCGCUCC
rnacentral:misc_RNA from 1 species